rnacentral:rRNA from 1 species
GAUGAACGCUAGCGGCAGGCUUAAUACGUGCAAGUCGAGGGGCAGCAGUUUUGUAGCAAUACAGAAGCUGGCGACCGGCAAACGGGUGCGGAACACGUAUGCAACCCUCCUUUAACUGGGAGAUAGCCCACCGAAAGGUGGAUUAAUAUCCCAUAAUAUAACUGAAUGGCAUCAUUUAGAUAUUAAAGCUCCGGCGGUUAAAGAUGGGCGUGCGUCUGAUUAGGUAGUUGGCGGGGUAACGGCCCACCAAGCCUUCGAUCAGUAGCUGAUGUGAGAGCAUGAUCAGCCACACGGGCACUGAGACACGGGCCCGACUCCUACGGGAGGCAGCAGUAAGGAAUAUUGGUCAAUGGACGCAAGUCUGAACCAGCCAUGCCGCGUGGAGGAUGAAGGCCCUCUGGGUUGUAAACUUCUUUUCUUUGGGACGAAACCCCUGUUUCUACGGGGACUGACGGUACCAGAGGAAUAAGCACCGGCUAACUCCGUGCCAGCCGCCGCAGUAA